rnacentral:rRNA from 1 species
AGCAGCCGCGGUAAUUCCAGCUCCAAUAGCGUAUAUUAAAGUUGUUGCAGUUAAAAAGCUCGUAGUUGAAUUUCGGGAUCAAUAUAUCGGUCGUGCCUUUGGUACGUACUGGUAUCAUUGAUUUCUCCUUUCUGACGAAUCAUGAUGUCAUUAAUUUGGUGUUAUGAGGAGUUAGGACUGUUACUUUGAAAAAAUUAGAGUGUUUAAAGCAGGCAUUAGCUUGAAUACAUUAGCAUGGAAUAAUGAAAUAGGACGUUUGACCCUAUUUUGUUGGUUUUUAGGAUCGACGUAAUGAUUAAUAGGGAUAGUUGGGGGGCAUUAGUAUUCAAUUGUCAGAGGUGAAAUUCUUGGAUUUAUUGAAGACUAACUACUGCGAAAGCAUUUUGCCAAGGAUGUUUUCAUUAAUCAAGAACGAAAGUUAGGGGAUCGAAGACGAUCAGAUACCGUCGUAGUCUUAACCAUAAACUAUGCCGACUAGGGAUCGGAUGAUGUUAAUUUUUUAAUGACUCAUUCGGCGCCU